UUGUUUUGCUGACCCCUUUUGCUUACUCUGUAGUCUUUGCCCUUUUUCCAUUCUUUUGUUUGCUUCUCAUGGUGUUUUCUUUUUUGUCUCUUAGUGUGGUUCUUUCUUUCACUAUGGUCUUGGCUCUGCUGCUUUUUUGUAUGUCUGUGGCAUUGCCUGAGUCUCAGUUUCCUUGUGUGUUUUUCUCCCUGCCUCCUGUCCUGUGUUAAUCUGGUGGCUACAAGCCUACCAGCCACAUAUCAGCAUAGAACCUGAAACUCCUUUCCCCUACACCCUCCUUCCUACUCUGAUUUUAGCCAGUGCAUUUGUCCCCUAAGCAAUCCUUCUAGCUGGUUAUGUCCUGACUGUUGCCUCAUGCCAGGACCCCUCCUCCCUCCUCAUGUGACUGCUACCUUCCUCCCCACACCAGUCUUUGCUUCCCUGUGCUACAAGAGGACUAGGGUGGACUUCUGGGUUUAAAGAGGAGGGAAUCUUUGAGGAAGCUUGAAAGAUAACCUAAGAGUCCAAAAAGCUUGGCUGUAUACAUGAUGAGCCUGUUUGAUUCAGUGGAAGUGGAAGCCCAUGUGUGAACAGAUGGCCUUUGUCUGUACUAGUACACAUGACCUGGGGACUAGGUUGUGACAUGGGCCAGUGUUGCCCUGUUACUUUUGGGUAGGAGCUGUGAGGUUUCCUGGUUGAGGUACUCUCUCUCCUAGUAGCUACUCAUAGCCAGCUUUUAGUCCUGGUGACACUCCUCUUCAUUGCCUCCAUUUGGCAAGUGGAUCCUCAACUGUGGGCUCUUAGGGCAGGGUGGGACUCUUGAGAGCCUUUGGAAAACUCUACUUUUUAGAGAGGACUGGAUGACCUGCUCCUCCAUGAGUUCUCAUAGAAUGUUUAAUGUCUCCAACUGUGUGAUGAUGUGGGGAGGGCUUCAGACAGGAAGAUGAUCACAUUUUUUGAGUCUGAGAAGGACUCUUUACUCAUUCUGUUGAGUCCUCUAUUUUUGUUGUUGUUGCCAUUGGCCUUGGCUAGGCAGGGUCAGGAUGUCUUCUGUCUUUUAAUUCCUACCAACUCAGGGCCGCUUCUCUUCCGACUCCAGUGCAGGAUGAGGGAUGAGAAGGGUGCCAUCCUCUAAGAAGGGCAAAGUGGGGUCCCCCAUGGACAGGGCCUGAGUGAAGUGGUCCUGAAGCAUGGGCAGUCUCCUUUGAGGGGUGGCCCUGUACGUAGAGUGGUUCUGCUGUGUGUUCUACAUUCUACACAUGGCUGUGUUGGUGCUGGUAUUGACUGAGCGUCUGUUGGGAUUUUUUGGAUUGUGGAGGAUCUCAACUCAGCUCCAUCUCUUAGUUCCCAUUUCAUCAGAACCACCAGAGGAAGGAGAGAAAGAGGAUCUUAGGGUUCAGCUGAAGCGACACCAUCCCUCGAGUCCCCUUCCUGGCAGUAAGACCUCCAAACGACCGAAGAUCAAGGUGUCCCUUAUCUCCCAAGGGGACACAGCUGGAGGGCCUUGUGCUCCUUCCCAAGGAAGUGCUCCAGAAGGUGGGAAGCCCAUCACCAUGACACUGGGGCAGGCUUCAGCAGGGGCCAAGGAGCUCACAGGACUUCUCACCACAGCCAAGUCCAGUUCUUCUGAAGGUGGAGUCUCAGCCAGCCCAGUCCCUUCAGUGGUCUCCAGCAGCACUGCACCCAGUGCCUUGCACACACUGCAGAGCCGCCUGGUGGCCACAUCUCCUGGCAGCUCCCUCCCAGGUAUCUUGUGGCCCAGCAUUCUCCCCUUCCAACAUAGAAUUUUUGGUCUGCUGCUUCUGGGUGGUCCUGGGAAAGCAUCCCUGGAGCUGAAUCCAUAGGAUGGGCCUCUGGGUCUUAGAGUGAUCAUAGAGCUUGACAUGAAGCUGGAAUUAGCUUGGGCAGAGGGAUUCCUUGGCCUUGAAUAAAUGCAGUGAGUAAAUGUCCUGGUCUGCAAGUGAGUAAAUGUUCCAGUCUACAGGUGCUGUAUCCUCUACUGUAAGGAGAAAUAGCCGAUAGGACAUAUAUGUAUAGUCAGCCUUUCUUAUCCACAGGAGAUUGGUUCUAGGACCCUCACCACUACCAAAAUCCAUGGAUGUUCAAGUCCCUUAUAUGAAAUUAUGUCAUACCGUUGGAAUUCUAUAUCCACAGGUUUCUAUCCGUGGUUGUUUGAAUCUGCAAAUCUGCUGUGAAGCUCACAGAUAAUUGAGAGCUGACUGUGGUUUUACUUUGCUGUUUUAAGCACGUCUGACUGAAUAAAACUGGAAAUGGUGCUACACUGGGCAUUAGCAAAAUGAGACAUUUUUCUGUCUGUGCUUGUCUCUCACUUUGUCCUACCCACUAACCCUACUUUGAAAGGCCUGUUGCCUGAGCCCAGCAGGGCCAAGGCAUUGCAGAAACCCUCUCCUGGCCAGGCAUGGUGACUCACACCUGUAAUCCCAACACUUUGGGAGGCCGAGGUGGGUGGAUCACCUGAGGUCAGGAGUUUGAGACCAGCCUGGCCAAUAUGGUGAAACCCCGUUUCUACUAAAAAUAAAAAAAAUUAGCCAGGUGUGGUGGUGGGCACCUGUAAUCCCAGCUGCUUGGUAGGCUGAAGCAGGAGAAUCACUUGAACCCAGGAGGUGGAGGUUGCAGUGAGCUGAGAUUGUGCCAUUGCGCUCCAGCCUGGGCAACAAGAGCGAAACUCCGUCUC
rnacentral:sRNA from 1 species